rnacentral:tRNA from 1 species
AUUUAGAUAGUUUAAUAUAAAAAUAUAGGUUUGUGGUUCCUAAGAUAUAAUUAAAAUAUUCUAAGUUU